rnacentral:rRNA from 1 species
GGAAUCACUGGGCGUAAAGCGUGCGUAGGCGGUUGUGUAAGUCUGAAGUGAAAGUCCAAGGCUCAACCUUGGGAUUGCUUUGGAAACUGCAUGACUGAGUGCUGGAGAGGCAAGGGGAAUUCCACGUGUAGCGGUGAAAUGCGUAGAUAUGUGGAGGAAUACCAGUGGCGAAGGCGCCUUGCUGGACAGUGACUGACGCUGAGGCACGAAAGCGUGGGGAGCAAACAGGAUUAGAUACCCUGGUAGUCCACGCCGUAAACGAUGAGUGCUAGGUGUUGGGGGGACACACCCCAGUGCCGAAGGAAACCCAAUAAGCACUCCGCCUGGGGAGUACGGUCGCAAGACUGAAACUCAAAGGAAUUGACGGGGGCCCGCACAAGCAGUGGAGCAUGUGGUUUAAUUCGAAGCAACGCGAAGAACCUUACCAGGGCUUGACAUCCCUCUGACCGGUGCAGAGAUGUACCUUCCCUUCGGGGCAGAGGAGACAGGUGGUGCAUGGUUGUCGUCAGCUCGUGUCGUGAGAUGUUGGGUUAAGUCCCGCAACGAGCGCAACCCUUGAUCUGUGUUACCAGCACGUAGAGGUGGGGACUCACAGGUGACUGCCGGCGUAAGUCGGAGGAAGGCGGGGAUGACGUCAAAUCAUCAUGCCCUUUAUGUCCUGGGCUACACACGUGCUACAAUGGGCGGUACAACGGGAAGCGAAGCCGCGAGGUGGAGCAAAACCUAAAAAGCCGUUCGUAGUUCGGAUUGCAGGCUGCAACUCGCCUGCAUGAAGCCGGAAUUGCUAGUAAUCGCGGAUCAGCAUGCCGCGGUGAAUCCGUUCCCGGGCCUUGUACACACCGCCCGUCACACCACGAGAGUCGGCAACACCCGAAGUCGGUGAGGUAACCGUUAUGGAGCCAGCCGCCGAA